UACGUAGGGGGCAAGCGUUGUCCGGAUUCAUUGGGCGUAAAGAGCGUGUAGGCGGCCAGGCAGGUCCGCUGUGAAAACUCGAGGCUCAACCUCGAGAUGUCGGUGGAAACCGUCUGGCUAGAGUCCGGAAGAGGAGAGUGGAAUUCCCGGCGUAGCGGUGAAAUGCGCAGAUAUCGGGAAGAACACCCGUGGCGAAGGCGGCUCUCUGGGACGGUACUGACGCUGAGACGCGAAAGCGUGGGGAGCGAACAGG
rnacentral:rRNA from 1 species